rnacentral:rRNA from 1 species
UCCUGACUGACCGAUAGUGAACCAGUACCGUGAGGGAAAGGCGAAAAGAACCCCGGCGAGGGGAGUGAAAAAGAACCUGAAACCGUGUACGUACAAGCAGUGGGAGCACGCUUAGGCGUGUGACUGCGUACCUUUUGUAUAAUGGGUCAGCGACUUAUAUUCUGUAGCAAGGUUAACCGAAUAGGGGAGCCGAAGGGAAACCGAGUCUUAACUGGGCGUUAAGUUGCAGGGUAUAGACCCGAAACCCGGUGAUCUAGCCAUGGGCAGGUUGAAGGUUGGGUAACACUAACUGGAGGACCGAACCGACUAAUGUUGAAAAAUUAGCGGAUGACUUGUGGCUGGGGGUGAAAGGCCAAUCAAACCGGGAGAUAGCUGGUUCUCCCCGAAAGCUAUUUAGGUAGCGCCUCGUGAAUUCAUCUCCGGGGGUAGAGCACUGUUUCGGCAAGGGGGUCAUCCCGACUUACCAACCCGAUGCAAACUGCGAAUACCGGAGAAUGUUAUCACGGGAGACACACGGCGGGUGCUAACGUCCGUCGUGAAGAGGGAAACAACCCAGACCGCCAGCUAAGGUCCCAAAGUCAUGGUUAAGUGGGAAACGAUGUGGGAAGGCCCAGACAGCCAGGAUGUUGGCUUAGAAGCAGCCAUCAUUUAAAGAAAGCGUAAUAGCUCACUGGUCGAGUCGGCCUGCGCGGAAGAUGUAACGGGGCUAAACCAUGCACCGAAGCUGCGGCAGCGACGCUUAUGCGUUGUUGGGUAGGGGAGCGUUCUGUAAGCCUGCGAAGGUGUGCUGUGAGGCAUGCUGGAGGUAUCAGAAGUGCGAAUGCUGACAUAAGUAACGAUAAAGCGGGUGAAAAGCCCGCUCGCCGGAAGACCAAGGGUUCCUGUCCAACGUUAAUCGGGGCAGGGUGAGUCGACCCCUAAGACGAGGCCGAAAGGCGUAGUCGAUGGGAAACAGGUUAAUAUUCCUGUACUUGGUGUUACUGCGAAGGGGGGACGGAGAAGGCUAUGUUGGCCGGGCGACGGUUGUCCCGGUUUAAGCGUGUAGGCUGGUUUUCCAGGCAAAUCCGGAAAAUCAAGGCUGAGGCGUGAUGACGAGGCACUACGGUGCUGAAGCAACAAAUGCCCUGCUUCCAGGAAAAGCCUCUAAGCAUCAGGUAACAUCAAAUCGUACCCCAAACCGACACAGGUGGUCAGGUAGAGAAUACCAAGGCGCUUGAGAGAACUCGGGUGAAGGAACUAGGCAAAAUGGUGCCGUAACUUCGGGA